CACGUACUCCCUCCGUCUGAAAAUACUUGUCAUCAAAAUGGACAAAAAAGGAUGUAUCUAAAACUAAAAUACAUCUAAAUACAUCCCCUUUUAUUCAUUUUGAUGACAAGUAUUUCCGGACGGAGGGAGUACAUG
rnacentral:pre_miRNA from 1 species